GUGCUGUCAAAAAUAUCCUUUUGGCUCCUCCUGCUCACAUACAAAAAAGGGAAUUGCAGCCUUGCUACAUGCUGAAGAAUGUUUGAAGUUCCUCUAUUAGCAAGCCACCCAACUUCUGACACCAUUUGUAGCGAAGGGAGAGAGCAGUCACCCCACCUGGUCUUGAACCUGGGUCUACAGGGUACCAAACCUGCACCCUGACCACGACGCCAAAGAGCCAGCAAGAUGUUUCAGAGGGCUAGAGGGUUAGGGAGAAACCUUGUCUCAUGAGCACUGAGUCGUCUGGAUACCUCAAAUUGGAAAUAUGGUUUGGUCUCACAGCAGUGUGUGGAUGACCCAUAUGGCUUCAAUGCAGUAGUGGUGAUUGGGGACAGAUCCUUCCCCCUUAGGAGGUGUCACCCAUUUCACAUCCCUGUCUCUGGAACUAGGACCUUGCCAGAACCUCAUCAUGAUGGUAAGUCUAACCACAAUCACAGACCAAUCACAGCUGGUCCCAAAAACAACUGGGUAUAAAUAAGAUUUAUUAUAAUUGUGUGCAUUUGUCGUUGAUAUUCUCCAGUGAUUGUGAGUCAGAGUCCUAGUGAGAGUGAGGAAGUGGACUUAAAGUAACACUAUGGAGUUUCUGGAGCCGCCAGGCGUGGAGCCAUUGGAAACAUCAGUGGAAGCUUGCCAGGCAUGGAGGAGAGUCCAGCCCAUGGGGUCAGAUGAGGAAGAGGGCAAAGGUGGAAAAAAAGAGGAGAAGACGGAAACAGAGCAAGAAGACACACAAGAGAGGACAUCGCUACAACAGCCGCUAGGACCAUAUCCUCAGAAACAAAUCAUGUCUAACUACAGUAUUGUUACUGUUGUUAAGCCCCGUCCUGUCUCUUAGUUCGUUUUCCUUGUGUUGUCAUGUGUUCUUCGGUUUUGUGUUUGUUUACCUUUAUCUCCUCUUGUCUGACUCCUCCCGCCCUGCCCCGCCUAUUGUAUAUAGUCCGUGUAUUCUUGUUUCUCGUUGCGUUCACGUCAUUGUAUGUUCAUUUUAUGUUCAUUUUAUGUUUCUAGCGAUCAUUGUGAGCAUUGUUAUUUCCUCGAGUUUCCUGGUGUUUCCAGCGAUCAGCAUUUACUGUGUUACCAACAUCAGCCUGUUCUACGGAUUACCCUUUUGCCUCUGCCCUUUUGGAUUUAUCUACCUGUGAAUUGUCUUCCUCUGCCUGAUUGUUUGCUUGGAUAUUGGACUGAUUACCUGUCACAUCUGUGCUGACAUCCGCUCCGGCCACGCCCCCUUUAGCACACUCUCACUUGCACACCCUCUGCUGCACCUCAUUCAAAUCAUUACGGCGCACUCACACGUAUGCGUUAGAAUGCGUUGAUCCGUCAAGGUUGACGGAUCCCUAUUCACUUUGAAUGGGGUGACGUCAUCCUUUGCCGAACUGAAUUGUGGCUCCGUUGGGUUCCGUUGCGUUGCGGUUCUCUCGAAAAGUUGAAAAAUUUUCAACUUUUGCUGCAAGCAACGCAUGCGUCAGCCAUUCAAAUUGCCUUUCAUGCAUAACUGACAGCACAGGUGCUAGCCAAUCAGAUCGCGUUUAUGCUUACGUCUAGAGCGAGACGCUCAAAAAAAAAGAUGGUGGACCAAACUGACUUUUUUUUGCUUAGAUUUUUUUUUAAAGUUACAGAGAAAUACACCCCGUUAUUGUAACUGAAAAAUACGUCUGAUAGGAUUUGCGAG
rnacentral:lncRNA from 1 species